UUCUACAGCCAUGCCACCCUGAACAAGCCCGAUCCUGUCUGAUCUCAGAAGCUAAGCAGGGUUGGGCCUGGUUAGUACUUGGAUGGUAAACCACCUAGGAAGACCAGAUACUAUAGGCA
rnacentral:rRNA from 1 species